AGCUUUAUAGUCAAUACAUGAUGUUAGACUGCAAUUCUAGAGGAGUAGGAUUACUACUAAGGCUU
rnacentral:tRNA from 1 species